rnacentral:rRNA from 1 species
CACGUAGGGGCCAAGCGUUGUCCGGAUUCAUUGGGCGUAAAGAGCUCGUAGGCGGUUCAGUUAGUCGGGUGUGAAAUCUCCGGGCUCAACCCGGAGGGGCCACCCGAUACUGCUGUGACUUGAGUCCGGUAGGGGAGUGGGGAAUUCCUGGUGUAGCGGUGAAAUGCGCAGAUAUCAGGAAGAACACCCGUGGCGAAAGCGGCUCUCUGGAACGGUACUGACGCUGAGACGCGAAAGCGUGGGGAGCGAACAGG